AACACGCGCAGACGGAAAGGGUGGCUAAUGCCCCGGGGUUGCCCCGCUUCCCGGUUCGCCUCCCUGCGCGGGAGGAUGGAAAAGAAACGGCGCCGCGUCGGUGGGUUCGCUUGCUGUGGGGCGGUGCCAAUUACUCCAAUCAACCCCAGUUUCUCCAGCCAGUUACAGCUCAUAGUGCUGCUGUGGAAAUGGUGAUGAAAGAGGGCAAGCAAGCCCAGCCUAUUGAAACUCUUCUCCCUCAUGCUGUGACCCCGAGCCUCUGCAACAGCAAUUUGGAAUCAACCAAAUAAAGGACUCACCUCUCAAUGAACCUUUGGAAGACUGACCCACGCAGACAUUGGCAGAUCUCUUCAAUGUAUGGCUGGCAAAAGAGGA